UUAUCUAGAAAACGUGCCUCUGAAUUCCAAGUGAAAAGACAUAAUUUUGAGGGUUAUUUGCCUUCAAUUUGGGUGGUCCAUCGUGAGCUGCCUUUAUACAUGCCACUGUCCUUCCUACUGAAGGUGUCCACAGCAUGAUCUCUUCACCGGGAUUGGGAUGAAAACACCAGUCAUCACCCAGCAGAUGUUGCUUCUCUACUGAGGACCCUUCAACUUGUUCACUGUUUCAAAGCUGAAGCUGCAAUUUGCGAAGUCGCAUUUUCCCGAAGGCUUUCCCACCUGGGCCUUGCUGAGGAACAUAAGAGUAUCAUCCCACCGACUGCUGGCAUUCGGCCCUGCGCCCACACAGCCCAGCGCUCUGCCUACCUGUGUCCAGCCUGAACUCAGCUUGGCACUGGCUUUCUAUCCACCUUCUGCCCAGCAGUGAAUGGAGUCAACUCUCCCAUUAAUGGAGCACCCUCUGGGGGAAGGGCACUGUGUUUUCUGCUGAGCGCUAGGACCUUCACAGUCUCCACAGAGCAACAAACCAGAACUCAGCGAGAAGAGCAAUGCCAAAGAGGAGGCCUAGCGUGCAGACACACAUGAGCCUAGAGCAGCUGUGCCCACCCCAUGCCUCUACCAUUGACUCAAUGAGGACAGCUGUCUUUGAGAGUGGUGACGGUAGGGUUCUAUAGAAGAAGCAGGUCUGUUAAGCAAUCUGCGAGAUGGCCGGCCUCAGACCAAUCAAAGUCUACCAUUUUGUCUUAUCUAUCUAGAACCAUAACUCAAAAAUGAAAUUGCCCCAGCUUUUCUCCUCCCACCAUUAAAUUCCAUUCAAUCAUAGCAGGCAAAAUGCAGUCACGCUCAAGCAGCCAGAUGUUAUCAUUACAGACUGCUCUUUAUAAACCCAUGCUGAAACCUGAGUGGUUGAUGAGACCAGCUAAGCAGUUGUACCUUUGACCCAAUUGCAUUAAACUUGCCCUAUCAAUUUAAGCUCAGUAUAAACACCAUUUCCCAGAGCCCCUCGUGAAGUCAGCAGUGAGAAGAAGCUGACUAAGCCUAAACAUUUUUUAACAGCAAUCUUGUCUUACAACACCAAGGGGAUUUGCUGGGUAUCUGGGGCUUUAUAAAACCAUAUGAACAUGCUGAAAGAAUUAAAAUCCUUUAAAAAUGAAAAAUUGAUGGUGACAGUCCUGUCUGAAGACUAACUGGUCUAAUGGCAACAUGGAAUGGGCACUUUUGUAUUUUUUUUUCUUUUUUUUUUGGUCUGAGACACUUUUGUAUUGUUUUGUAAGUAAUAUAUUUGUAUUAUUUUUCUUCUUCUCAAAUGUUUGCCUUAAGGUGGCCAUUCCAAUUUUUUUUAAAUGAAAAAAAAUGUGCCCCACUUAUCAGUAAAUUGGACAUUUUAAGAGGAAUUGAACAUAUUUACUGUCCUGGUUAAGUUUCUUUCUAAUGAAGACUGGGACCCUCUCCGUAUUCAAACAUUUCAGAUAAUAAGAUCACAGUUAUCUCCACAUCACAUGCGGCUGACAUCCCGGGAGUCUGGCCUAUGCACAAGUCCCAGGGUGAAUGAAGGGAGUGAUCGUACCUGGCUAUUGAUUUGCUAAUAUUUCAAUAAAACUUAGAUGUUCUAUAAAAAUGUAAGCAUAUAUUUGUCUUUGUAAAUAAAUAUACCUCAGUGUAAAGGUAUUUCAAAAGAGAAGGCUGAUCUUAGAGGUGUUUACUUUUUUCUUUUUUUGCUUUGUAUAAAAAGUUUAUUCAGUUACUUUGUGGCUGAGUUUCCAAAUAAGUAGGAUACUGUUACUUUCUGUUAAAAUGCUAAAAUAGGAUACUGGAGAACAAAUAAAUGUUGAAGAUUUAUAAACUCUUUUA
rnacentral:lncRNA from 1 species